UUAAUUUAUUUGCUUGUUUACUCAGAAGAUACUAAAGAAAUACAAGAGUUUGGGGUCUCCGGCGGGCGCCUGAUCCGGGCCCGAGGGCGCCGGGGCGGAUCCGCCGAAGCAACGAUAGGUAUGUUCACAGGGGUUUGGGAGUUGUAAACUCGGUAAUGAUCCCUCCGCUGGUUCACCAACGGAGA
rnacentral:misc_RNA from 1 species